rnacentral:rRNA from 1 species
AGGGAGUUUGGAUACCUGGGCUCAGGACGAACGCUGGCGGCGUGCUUAACACAUGCAAGUCGAACGAGGGCCCGGAGCUUGCUCCGGUGACCCGAGUGGCGGACGGGUGAGUAACACGUGACCAACCUACCUUCGGGAGGGGGACAACCUGGGGAAACCCGGGCUAAUACCGCAUAUCGUCCACGGGCCGCAUGACCUGUGGAUAAAAGGGAGCCUCUGCUUGCAUGCUCUCACCCGAAGAGGGGGUCGCGGCGUAUCAGCUAGUUGGCGGGGUAAUGGCCUACCAAGGCAACGACGCGUAGCGGGUCUGAGAGGACGACCCGUCACAUUGGGACUGAGAUACGGCCCAGACUCCUACGGGAGGCAGCAGUGGGGAAUAUUGCGCAAUGGCCGAAAGGUUGACGCAGCGACGCCGCGUGUGGGAGGACGCCCUUCGGGGUGUAAACCACUGUCAGGGGGGAAGAACUUCGCAGGCGUGAAUAGCGCUUGCGGUUGACGGUACCCCCAGAGGAAGCGCCGGCUAACUCCGUGCCAGCAGCCGCGGUUAAGACGGAGGGCGCAAGCGUUGUUCGGAAUUACUGGGCGUAAAGGGCAGGUAGGUGGUCUGUUAAGUCUUCUGUGAAAAUUCCGGGGGCUCAACCCCGCGAAAUGCAGGUGAAACUGGCAGACUUGAGACGGUAGAGGCUAGCGGAAUUCCUGGGUGUAGCGGUGGAAUGCGUAGAUAUCAGGAAGAACACUGUGGCGAA